AUGGCUCAGGAUGAACGCUGGCGGCGUGCUUAACACAUGCAAGUCGAACGAAGCUAAGGGAGCUUGCUCCCAAAGCCUAGUGGCGGACGGGUGAGUAACGCGUGGGUAACCUGCCCUAUAGAGGGGGAUAACGUUCGGAAACGAACGCUAAUACCGCAUAAACCAUAAGGAGCUGCAUGGCUCUGAUGGCAAAGAUUUAUCGCUAUAGGAUGGACCUGCGUUGGAUUAGCUAGUUGGUGAGAUAACAGCUCACCAAGGCGACGAUCCAUAGCCGGCCUGAGAGGGUGAACGGCCACAUUGGGACUGAGACACGGCCCAAACUCCUACGGGAGGCAGCAGUGGGGAAUAUUGCACAAUGGGCGCAAGCCUGAUGCAGCGACGCCGCGUGAAGGAAGAAGGUCUUCGGAUUGUAAACUUCUAUCAGCAGGGAAGAAUAAAUGACGGUACCUGACUAAGAAGCCCCGGCUAACUACGUGCCAGCCGCGGC
rnacentral:rRNA from 1 species